CCAAGUCUCGGUGCUGAAUCUUCCUGUUCUGUGCCCUUUGUGUCCUCACAGUUCCUGGUGGAGAACAGAUGUGCGGUCAAUGGACAGACCACAGGGCUGGCUGGAGCUUUAGGAUAAGUAUAGAGCUGUCUCCAUGAAGGAAAUGUCCAGCUAGGAACUACAACUUCUUGCUGUUUGCGGACAGAAAGAUG
rnacentral:lncRNA from 1 species